UACAGAAGAUGAUAUUUGUGUUGCUUCAUACUUUGAUUUAUUGACAUAUAGUUUCAUAGUUGAAACAAGUUAAUUCUUCAAGAGUCUGUUAAGAAUUCACUCUAUUAGAGAAGUUGUGUGUUACUUUUUAUAUGGCAAAACUGGAAAGACACAACGAUGUCUGGCUGUAGUCUGUGGUGUGGUGGUUGAUUCAAAACUAUUUCCACUUUUACAUUUACAUUUAACAAAGCAAGAAGCUCUACCAUGUCUCUCUCUGUGAUACUUGGACUGAUGCUCUGCAUUGAAGCACCAGGGUCCAGUGCUGUGACUGAUGUGUUUGUGAAGAGAGGAGAUUCUGUACUUCCGGAAGUCAUGGAUGAUGUUACAAAGGAGUAAACCUCCUCACACCUACUUUCCUCCAUCAGGUCCAGUGUCUCCAGUUGACCUGAAUCCAGACUCUAUGUCCAACAGCUCAGACUCCUGUAACCUCACUGUGACCUGCAGGACAGAGGACUCACACAUCAGCAGCACUUUCACAUGUGACACCAAAACCUGCUCUCAGGAGGGAGGAGACCAAUCAAAGGUCACCAACUCUGGUGUUUCCCUCAGUGUCCACCUGUUGAAUGACGCAACCAUCUGGAACCAUAGCAGAAGAAAAUUACAAAAAUUCAGGAUCUCUGUCUCCUACAUGCUGGUCUCUAUGAUGGUGUCUCCAUCUGUCUGGUGAAGACAGUUGUGUUCUCUGUUGGUCUGAUCAUCAUGGUGUCUGUCGUCAUUAGUGUCCACCUCAUGGAGAAGAUCAGGAAACUAAAAUAAACAGUUCUCCUCUAAUCAAAUGAACAUAGGGCUCAAUCUCAUAUAGUGAACAUCUUACAUUUGCAUGUGGCUUUUUUGCUCUUACAGCCAGUGGCAUCUUUGCAUUGGGGACCCACCAGAGGGCGCUGCUGUGUAGGGAGGAUCACAGCAAUACAUUAGAGGGAAUCUGGCCAACUCGGGAAUGGACUGUAGGAGCUGUCAAGAGGGAAAAGUCAUUCAACCAGGAGUGGUUUAAGUAGAACCCUCGGUUAACCGGGAGCUCGUAAAAAAGCACUUAGUGAGUCUAAUUCAUUUUUAAUCUAAAUAGAAUAGAUAAUGAAGUUUACAUAUUUUUUGAAUGAUAAUGUAAAUUGAGUAAUGCGCACCUGGCGGUAUGUAUGUGGUAUACUGUGUGUAGUGACUUUGUAUAUUGAUUGCUGUGUAUUGGGUGUGUGCCAUUCAUGGUAUGAGCCGUUCAUCGGGUUUUUUAUUUAUUGUUUCAAUGUUGAGUAUCUGAUAUAGCGAGCUCUUGAACUCUGUGUUUGGUUGUGUAUAUGUCGGCAGAGUGGUAUGGUAUGCAAUCCAUCACCGUGGGAGGGGAUAAUGCAGCUAAUGAACCUAUUAACUCAUACAAGAUUGACACAGAGAAUGCGUGGAUAGAAAUUGCUGUCGCAAUGGCAAAAAAGACAUGAGGGACAAAUUCGGUAGGGCACAUAAACAGCAAGGCAGUGUGCUACCAUCUCUUAUUGUGUAUUAUUGCGCCGGCAAAAAGAUACCUGUGUAACAAUUGAACUGAAUUUGAAUUGAAUUUAUUUAUUCUGAAUAUACGUUUCAAUAAAUCACAAUGACUCACAUAUCUUCUAUCUUAUAGUGCAUUGGCUUCAAGCCCACAUCUAUAUACAGUAAAUUAAUUUCGGUACAAUUCAGCACUAUCAUUUUGUCCAAUUGUGCUCAACACAACACAUUCCUUCAUUCUUCAAGUGGGUUUGAAUUUGAAGUGGAACUAUUCAACACAACUACACUUUAAAAUCUGCCUACAAAUCACAACUUAAUUGAAUUUAAUCCUUUAAAAUUAACUUGUAUGUGUUAAAUUAUUUAGUUAAAAUAUAACCUUCAGUAGCAGUAACAUCAGCUUUGAGCUUAACUUCAAUUAUCUUAGACAUUGUGACAAACAAAAUAUAUAAAAUAUCAAAUGUGAUUUGCUAAUUCAAACCCACAUCCAUGUGAUGUAAAUAGCUGGAACAAUCAUUUUGUCUAUCGUAGUCAACAUGACAUAGUGUUUUUGUAUUUUGAAAAUAAAUCAAAUACGUAGUGUUUUUUAUAUGUAUGUAACACAAAGUGCUUCACACAGAUUAAAAAGACAUCCACACAUAUAACCCCACUCACGCAUACACGCGCACAAAGAAAAUUAGAUACAGUAUAAUACGGUAAAUUACGGUAUAAUAAGUAAAUAAAGUAAGAACACCCUUUAUCCCAUAAAAAUAAGUAAAUCUGAUAAUUAGGAAUGGGCAUCAAUAACCAGAUGUUCCAGUUCCCAUCUUCUCUGCUUUUUCUACCCCUUAUCCUCACUAGGGUCGUG